CUUCCUGCAGUUGCUCCGCCCUCCCCUGGGUUUGGCUGGGCCCUGGCUGGAGGCGCCUCUUCGCGCACCGAGCCUCGCUUUGGCUCCGCUGACGCCCGGGCGCCGCUGGGAAGUGCGCUCCAGGCCACAGGAGGAGCCCCGAAGCCAAGCAUGUGCCCGCAGCCCCGUCCGCCCCAAGACUACAAGCACUCCAGACGGCCAACGUCUGCCUCGUCUCUGCAAAAAAAUGUAGAAAUCCCAAGGAUUAUCUUCAACUUCAAAUUCAACAUCAGCGGGAUAAAUCAGGGACCAGUCGUUUCUGCCAGUGUUCCCAGGGGAAAAAUGGGGAAUGCACAAAGGACACAGAAGAAGGAUAGAAGAAGGAAUAAGGCAUUUGCUCAAAAUUACCUUGUGCAGCUAGCCUUUGCUGCCUUUACUAUACUGAGCUGAGUUUCAAAGACUGCCAUGUAUUUG